CCCACCGUGGCUGUCACCAAGUGCAGAGCCUCCUGGAAGGACCGCCUCACCGUGCCAACCCACUGAGUCAUGUGUGUCUGGGCCACCGAAAGCUUGUCGCCCAGGGAGAACUCCCAUGCACACCUGGGAGCCACCGCCCACCGCCGCCGCCGCCGCCGCCGCCGCCGCCGGCGGCCAGCUCUCCCUCCGGGCUCUUCUCGCCUGAACUAGGCAGAUCUCCAGUCCUCAGGCUGGAGACUCCAAACCCGAAGCCGACCGAACCUGCAGGCCAGCAGGCAGCGCACUCACUUCCGGAGAGGCAGCCACCCAGCCCGGGUCCCCUGGCCCAGCAGCCCGGAAUGACAUCAGCCCCCUGUCUUGGCGAGGGGCGCACAGCCCAGGAAUGCAGGAGGGGCCUUGGGAGGUGGCCGCCCAGGGAGCUGGCGUCAGCCCCAGUUUUUUUCCCCCCUAAGUCUCAACUCGCUCGCUGUCCCUCAGGGACUUCAUGUGCCAGACUGCUUACCCACCCCAGGCAGCACCGUGCAGGAACGCGGGUGAAGAAAUGCUAGCUCCGAGAGGUGGAUUCACAUGUCCAAGGUCACACAGCAAGAACGAAAUCAAGGUGCUCUUGGAAACGCCCCCUCCCCGUGGUUGUGAGCACACCUGACACACCCCCCACCGCACCUUGCCCACUUUGAGGCUUCAAAAAUAUUGACUUUUCAAAAUGCCAGGCCAAAUCCAAGGUUGAAAUCCACAUCAGCCCAACCGCCUGGUAUGACCUCUACACCGCCCCCU